rnacentral:lncRNA from 1 species
AUUUCUGUCCUGUAAGGAACAGUGAUUGCCCCUGCUCCGGAAGAUGUAAUGUGUAAGGUACCAUCCUGGGGGUGGCCCUCUCCAGACACCAAGCCUGUUGGCACCUUGAUCUUGGACUUCCCAGCCUCCAGAACUGUGAGAAAUAAAUUUCUGUUCUUUAUUAAUUACCCAGCAAUUUUUAUAGCUGCACAAAAUGGUUUAAGACAGAGGUCAUAGCAAGCUUCAGUUUUUACUUUUUCCCCUUGCAUCUGAACAAUUGCAAACAGAAAGAACAACUGAGUGCUUUAUUUCUGCAACCACCAUGCUGCUACUGAGUGAAGGGGAAGGAGGGAUAAGAGCUUGCCUUCUUUCCUUGUGUUAAUUGCAAUAUCUUCCAAAACCCAGCAAGGAAGGCAUGAAGUGAGCCUACCAAGGCCAGUCUCCAGAUGAGGGGACUGUAGCUACAGAUUGCUAUGUUUCCUGUUGGUGGUGGUAGCAAGAUUUCAUAGGGGCCUUUCUUGCCAUUGCUCAAAAUGAAAUGCAUUGACACCAAAGGAAGUGGUGAAACUGUGGGCAUUGUAUGCUUUAGAAAUUUGAUAUUUGGAAACCUGCAGACCUGAAGAGGCAGUAGCUUCUCCUGAAGAUCUGAUACCCAAGGGCUACCCAGACAAGGAGCUGACUUGUCAGGAAGUGUGGUGGACCUUGACGCAAAAACUCAAACCACAAAUGUUUCACUUCUAAAUUUUGCAGGCUCUGUUAUAUAGACAUUUUUGUUAAGCCCUGUAUAAAACAAUAGCAUGACUGGGUCCUUUCCCCUCCUCGUGGUGACUACGUGCAUCUUCCACGAACAUUCCCAUGUCAUGUGGUCAGCUUCCAAGAAAGACUUUACCAACGAGUCUGUUUACAGAUUCUCAACCAGAGGACUUACAGGAAUGCACAGUAGCUAUUUGGGAUGCAGAGGUAUAUGAGCCCCAGACCUCAUCCCCAAUCAGGCAGUUGGGUAGGAAUGGUGUGGUUACUGAUGGUGGGAGGACAGGGAUGGUGGGGAGUUUCCUGUGGAGGGCCCACCACUGAAGAAAUCUCUCUACCUCCUGGUUUGAUCCAGGUUUUCCAGGGAUAAAACAAGAGGGGGAAACAAAGAAGUAAUCAUUUCCCAGCCCCCAAUAUGCCCCAUCUCUGUCUCAGCUCCCAGCAGAGCAGUAAUAGGUCCCUGCUUAUCAGAUGGCAUCGGAAGGGGGUGGGUGCCUGGGUGGGUGCCUGGCUGUGUGCAGUGAGGAGGUCUCAGCAGCAGCUUCUGAAGCCAACUGCUUGGCUGGAAUCUAGGUGCGCUACUCACUAGCUGGGGGAACUUACAGCAAGUUACUUCACCUCUUGUGCCUCAGUUUUCUCAUCCGUCAAAAGGGAGUACUAAUAGCAGCAUCAUUGACAAAAGCUGAAAGGUGGAAGCAAGCCAAGUGUUCAUCCACUAAGAAAUGCAUAAAUAAAAUGUGGCCUAGACAUACAUGGAAUACUAUUCAGCCUCAGAGGAAGAGAAUCUGGACACGUACUGCAACAUGGAUGAACUCUGAAGACAUCACGCUGAGUCCAAGGGCAAACACUGUAUGAUUCCUCUUAGAUGAGGUACUUGGAGCUGUCAAAUUCGUAGAGAUAGAAAGUAGAAUGGUGCAGGUCAGGCAUUCAAGACCAGCCUGGCCAACAUGGAAAAACCCUGUCUCUAUUAAAAAAAUACAAAAAUUAGCCAGGCGUGGUGGUGUGCACCUGUAAUCCCAGCUACUCGGGAGACUGAGGCACGAGAAUCACUUGAACCCGGGAGGUGGAGGUUGCAGUAAGCCAAGAUUGCACCAUUGCACUCUAGCCUGGGCAACAAGAGCAAGACUCCGUCUCAAAAAAAAAAAAUAAAUAAAUAAAAUGGAAAGUAGGACGGUGGCUGCCAGGGGCUGGAGGAAGAGGGGAAUGGGAAGUUCUUGCUUAAUGAGCAUAGUUUCAGUUUCGCAAGAUGAAGAGUUCUGGAGAUGGAUGGGAAGAUGGAUGCACAACAGUAUGAAUGUACUUAAUGCCACUGAACUACACACUUAAAAAUGGUUACGAUGGUAAAUUUUGUGUAUGUGUGUUUCACCACAAUUUUUAAAAAUAAAUAAGUAAGGAGAAAUAUUACCC